UUAAGUUAAUAAGGGCGCACGGUGGAUGCCUUGGCACUAGGAGCCGACGAAGGACGUGACAAACGACGAUAUGCCUUGGGUAGCUGUAAGUAAGCGAUGAUCCAGGGAUUUCCGAAUGGGGGAACCCAACAGGUAAUACCUGUUACCAGGGCAAACCGAAGAGUUUACUCUUCGGGGUUGUAGGACUGCAAUGUGGACUCAAAGAUUAUAGAAGAAUGAUUUGGGAAGAUCAGCCAAAGAGAGUAAUAGCCUCGUAUUUAAAAUAGUCUUUGUACUUAGCAGUAUCCUGAGUACGGCGGGACACGUGAAAUCCCGUCGGAAUCUGGGAGGACCAUCUCCCAACCCUAAAUACUCCCUAGUGACCGAUAGUGAACCAGUACCGUGAGGGAAAGGUGAAAAGCACCCCGGGAGGGGAGUGAAAUAGAACCUGAAACCGUGUGCCUACAACAAGUUCGAGCCCGUUAAUGGGUGAGAGCGUGCCUUUUGUAGAAUGAACCGGCGAGUUACGUUAUGAUGCGAGGUUAAGUUGAAGAGACGGAGCCGUAGGGAAACCGAGUCUGAAUAGGGCGCCUUAGUAUCAUGACGUAGACCCGAAACCAUGUGACCUACCCAUGAGCAGGUUGAAGGUGCGGUAAGACGCACUGGAGGACCGAACCAGGGCACGUUGAAAAGUGCUUGGAUGACUUGUGGGUAGCGGAGAAAUUCCAAACGAACUUGGAGAUAGCUGGUUCUCUCCGAAAUAGCUUUAGGGCUAGCGUCGACAUUAGAGAUUCUUGGAGGUAGAGCACUGUUUGGGUGAGGGGUCCAUCCCGGAUUACCAAUCUCAGAUAAACUCCGAAUGCCAAUGAAUUAUGGUCGGCAGUCAGACUGCGAGUGCUAAGAUCCGUAGUCGAAAGGGAAACAGCCCAGACCACCAGCUAAGGUCCCAAAAUAAUUGUUAAGUGGAAAAGGAUGUGGGGUUGCACAGACAACUAGGAUGUUAGCUUAGAAGCAGCUAUUCAUUCAAAGAGUGCGUAAUAGCUCACUAGUCGAGUGACCCUGCGCCGAAAAUGUACCGGGGCUAAAACAAUUUACCGAAGCUGUGGAUACCUUUAUAGGUAUGGUAGGAGAGCGUUCUAUGUGUGAUGAAGGUAUACCGUGAGGAGUGCUGGAACGCAUAGAAGUGAGAAUGCCGGUAUGAGUAGCGAAAGACAGGUGAGAAUCCUGUCCACCGUAAGACUAAGGUUUCCAGGGGAAGGCUCGUCCGCCCUGGGUUAGUCGGGACCUAAGGAGAGACCGAAAGGUGUAUCCGAUGGACAACAGGUUGAUAUUCCUGUACUAGAGUAUGUAGUGAUGGAGGGACGCAGUAGGCUAACUAAAGCAGACGAUUGGAAGAGUCUGUCUAAGCAGUGAGGUGUGAAUUGAGUCAAAUGCUUAAUUCUAUAACAUUGAGCUGUGAUGGGGAGCGAAGUUUAGUAGCGAAGUUAGUGACGUCACACUGCCAAGAAAAGCUUCUAGCGUUUAAACAUACUCUACCCGUACCGCAAACCGACACAGGUAGUCGAGGCGAGUAGCCUCAGGUGAGCGAGAGAACUCUCGUUAAGGAACUCGGCAAAAUGACCCCGUAACUUCGGGAGAAGGGGUGCUGACUUAAAGUCAGCCGCAGUGAAUAGGCCCAAGCAACUGUUUAUCAAAAACACAGCUCUCUGCUAAAUCGUAAGAUGAUGUAUAGGGGGUGACGCCUGCCCGGUGCUGGAAGGUUAAGAGGAGUGCUUAGCGUAAGCGAAGGUAUGAAUUGAAGCCCCAGUAAACGGCGGCCGUAACUAUAACGGUCCUAAGGUAGCGAAAUUCCUUGUCGGGUAAGUUCCGACCCGCACGAAAGGCGUAAUGAUUUGGGCACUGUCUCAACGAGAGACUCGGUGAAAUUUUAGUACCUGUGAAGAUGCAGGUUACCCGCGACAGGACGGAAAGACCCCAUGGAGCUUUACUGCAGUUUGAUAUUGAGUGUCUGUACCACAUGUACAGGAUAGGUAGGAGUCUAAGAGAUCGGGACGCCAGUUUCGAAGGAGACGCUGUUGGGAUACUACCCUUGUGUUAUGGCCACUCUAACCCAGAUAGGUGAUCCCUAUCGGAGACAGUGUCUGACGGGCAGUUUGACUGGGGCGGUCGCCUCCUAAAAGGUAACGGAGGCGCCCAAAGGUUCCCUCAGAAUGGUUGGAAAUCAUUCGCAGAGUGUAAAGGUAUAAGGGAGCUUGACUGCGAGAGCUACAACUCGAGCAGGGACGAAAGUCGGGCUUAGUGAUCCGGUGGUUCCGUAUGGAAGGGCCAUCGCUCAACGGAUAAAAGCUACCCUGGGGAUAACAGGCUUAUCUCCCCCAAGAGUUCACAUCGACGGGGAGGUUUGGCACCUCGAUGUCGGCUCGUCGCAUCCUGGGGCUGUAGUCGGUCCCAAGGGUUGGGCUGUUCGCCCAUUAAAGCGGCACGCGAGCUGGGUUCAGAACGUCGUGAGACAGUUCGGUCCCUAUCCGUCGCGGGCGUAGGAAAUUUGAGAGGAUCUGCUCCUAGUACGAGAGGACCAGAGUGGACUUACCGCUGGUGUACCAGUUGUCUUGCCAAAGGCAUCGCUGGGUAGCUAUGUAGGGAAGGGAUAAACGCUGAAAGCAUCUAAGUGUGAAACCCACCUCAAGAUGAGAUUUCCCAUGAUUAUAUAUCAGUAAGAGCCCUGAGAGAUGAUCAGGUAGAUAGGUUAGAAGUGGAAGUGUGGCGACACAUGUAGCGGACUAAUACUAAUAGCUCGAGGACUUAUCCAA
rnacentral:rRNA from 1 species